rnacentral:rRNA from 1 species
UUUAUUGAGAGUUUGAUCCUGGCUCAGGGUGAACGCUGGCGGCGUGUCUAAGGCAUGCAAGUCGAAUGCUUCUUUGUUCUUUACUGCGUAAAGAGCUACGGAGCACAAGUUAAUAUUUAUAUAAAGUAACUUGUGUCCUGAAACUCAUGCGUAGCAAUGAGCAUAGGGGCAUGGCAAACGGGUGAGUAACACAUUAAUAAUCUACCCCAAAGUUGAGAAUAACCUACCGAAAGGCUGGAUAAUACUCAAUGUGUUUAAGCAAUACAAAUUGCUUAAAUAAAGUUUUAACGCUUUGGGAUGAGUUUAUGGCUUAUCAGCUAGUUGGUGGGGUAAUUGCCUACCAAGGCUAUGACGAGUAGCGGGCGUGAGAGCGCGACCCGCCUCAUUGGGACUGAGAUACUGCCCAAACUCCUACGGGAGGCUGCAGUCAAGAAUAUUCCUCAAUGCGCGAAAGCGUGAAGGAGCGACGCCGCGUGUCCGAAGAAGCUCUUCGGGGUGUAAAGGACUUUUUUUAAGGAAGAAUCACGACGGUACUUAAAGAAUAAGGGGCUGCUAAUCACGUGCCAGCAGCAGCGGUAAUACGUGAGCCCCAAGCGUUACCCGGAAUUAUUGGGCGUAAAGAGUAUGUAGGCGGUUUAAUAAGUUAUUUGUCAAAUUCUGAUGCUUAACAUCAGAUCCGCGAAUAAUACUGUUAGACUUGAGACUGGAAGAGGUAAGCGGAACUGCUGGUGUAGGGGUUGUAUCCAUUAAUAUCAGCAGGAACACCAAAUGCGAAGGCAGCUUACUAUAACAUGUCUGACGCUGAGAUACGAAAGCGUGGGGAGUGAAUGGGAUUAGAUACCCCAGUAAUCCACGCCGUAAACGAUGGAUACUAAACAUUGGUAGUUUCGACCCUAUCAGUGUUGUUUACCUAAAUUAACAUCUUAAGUAUCCCGCCUGGGAAGUACGAGCGCAAGCUUAAAACUCAAAGGAAUUGACGGGGACUCGCACAAGCGGUGGAGCAUGUGGUUUAAUUCGACGACAAGCGAGGAACCUUACCAAGGAUUGACAUCCCGAGAACUCUGAUGAAAAUUAGAGGUGCCGCAAGGAGCUCGGUGACAGGUGCUGCAUGGUUGUCGUCAGCUCGUGCCGUGAGGUGUACGGUUAAGUCCGAAAACGAGCGCAACCCUUACUCUAAGUUACUAUGUCUUAGAGAACUGCCCAGCCCUCAGUUUUUCAAACAAUUUUCAAUUUUCAAUUAUCAAUUUUCAAACAAUUUUCAAUUAUUUAAUUUAUAAAAUUAAAAAUUGAAAAUUAGAAAUUGAUUGGAAAUUGGAAAUUGGAAAUUGGAAAUUUGAGUGCUGGGAGGAAGGUGAGGAUGACGUCAAAUCAGCAUGGCCCUUAUUCCUUGGGCUACACACGUGCUACAAUGGUCAGUACAAAGGGUUGCCAAACCGAAAGGCGGAGCCAAUCCCAUAAAACUGGUCUCAGUUCGGAUUGAGGGCUGCAACUCGCCCUCAUGAAGUUGGAAUCGCUAGUAACCGUGAAUCAGCCUCGUCACGGUGAAUACGUUCUCGAGUCUUGUACACACCGCCCGUCAUGUCAAGGAAGCCGGCAGUGCCCGAACUCUGAUGUUAUUUCGGAGGAAGGUAAGGCUGGUAACAGGGACAAAGUCGUAACAAGGCAUCCGUAGCGGAAGCUGUGGAUGGAUCACCUCCUUUCU